rnacentral:lncRNA from 1 species
CACGAAGCUCUUCCGAUGUCUUGAGGAGACUUGCAUGCAAUGUAUGCGACAGCACCGUAGGCCUUCGGGCUGGCAUCGCAGAAAAUGUGCAACACUUUCUCUGUCUCUUCCUGUCGGAAAUCCCUUGAUAUGACUCUCGGAAU